rnacentral:pre_miRNA from 1 species
UGGACAGAUUAUUGUAUUCGACUGUAUUCACGGUGUGAAACACGGGAUUACACUGUUUUUAAACGGAAAGUGAAUGAAUUAACAUAAUAGACUCCU